UUGGGUGUACAGAACGUUCAAGCAAGAGAUGGGGUAUGUAGGACAGAAAAUAGACAUCCACCAAAAGGCUUAAGCUACUUGGCCUUCAAGAUGAUCUUUCAGUGAUAUUUAC